GUGCUGGCCAGGGUUGCUGCGCGUUUGCAAAGCUUUAUGCAGCCUUCUGGAUGAUGACGUGUUAAGCGCUCAGUUUGCGAUAACCAAUUUCCUCCUGAAAUUAUACCAAAAAUCUGCUUGAUUUAAACUGUUUCCCAAGCAUUUUGGUUAAUAACAAAAGACAGUCCCCUCCAAGAGAAUCUAACUUGAGGAAGCCAUGAAAUUUAAUUCAUUUCUGCAACUUAAAUAUAUAAUCAGUGACAUAUGGUAAUACUAAAUACAGGGGGAAAUGUCAUUGUUUAAGUCAAAUUUCUGCAUUCAGUCAAAAUCCGUAGUUGUAACAUCAAACUGUAGUUUCCAUUGUACAGGAAAUAAAGCAUCAUUUUUUCAAAGAAAAUAGACAUGCAAUUGCAUGCCUAUUACAUUGCUUGUAUAGCUUUAUUUAUAGCUUCUCCAUGUUGCUAAAAGGGCUAACAGAAGGGAAACCGUGGAGGCAGAAGAAAUGAGGCAACACCCAGAUGGUGGUAGAAAGGACAAAGGAGAUGUCUGCCCUGUGAAUGUACACUCUCCCUGCAGUUGUUUCUGGGCAACAAACUACUGUGCCUGGGCUAUGGACCCUGUGCCUUCCUCCUCACUUCUGCAGGCAUUCCAGCACUGAAGCAGCGCUGAGAAAUUGUCGUGCCAUGGUACAGGGCAAGAACUUGAGACUCUGAAAAGAAAGUAUAUUUUGGUUCGCCUUGCCCUUGCUGCGGCCAGAUGCAAAGAGGGGUACAAUUGCUUUUCCGAGGCCACUGGAUCGGGGCUGGGUCCAGGUGUUGGUCUGGAAAGCUGAGACAGAUAAGUGACUUCGCUGCAUCCGGAGUUUGCAUUCGAAGCAGAGACUAAUUCUGAGGAACAUUUCAGAAUAAACACAUUUGUCUUCUAAAGAAGUUUGUUUGCAAGGGGAAAAUAUAUAUAUAAAGGAGGUUAAAUGGGA